UCUUAAUGACUGCCGCUAGAGUGAGGAGGCGGUCUUCUAGAAACUGCCGCUUACAUUGCUUUUAGAAGCUGACAUGACGGUCUACAGUGAUAUGUUCGAUAGAUUUUACAACGGACCAGAUUUAAACUGGUUUAAUCUUACAACGGACCGGUAGUAGGAGCAACGCCGGAAGGCGAAAAAAUUCUUCCUUGCAUAGUCUCCUUCUUGUUCGACAAGACAAAAAGUUCUCUACAAAGAGAACCUUGCAGAAAAAUUUUGAAGAAGAUGACAGAGGAGAUUUAUUUUUUGGAGAGAAAUCUAGAGUUAUGCGAUUCCAAUCCAGCAUUCAUUCUUUGUUUGAGAAGGGGAAAGAUACCAGAAGGGGGAAAUUUCUAGGUGAUAUCCAAGCCACCACCAAACUUGUUCAUUCGAGCAGGAGAAGAGGAGGUUUGUAUAAUAUUCAAGGAGUAAAUGCAAAAUUGCAUGUCUCAAGAGGAAGACACUCAAAAUAAGGGCAAUGAACAAGGACAUGAGGAUGUCUAUGCUCGUGUGAUGGGCCAAGAGCGUCAUGGCCGAGUGCAUGGUAUAGGUUUAGGCCCAACUCCAUCCAGGUACAGGGGCCCAUGGCAGAGCCAUGAAGAUGCCUUGAACUAAUGAAGGUAAAAGAGCAGGUGAAGAGCAUUUACAGAAGAUGGAAGAACAAAUUGCAUCAAUGCGAGAACGAAUGGAUGCGAUGGAAGCUCAAUUACUUAAUAGAUAGGAUUGAGGUGAAUCAUUACAAUUGCGAAGGAAAGUCCUCUACACAUGCUUUUCAAAGUCCCUUCUAUCAUCAAUUUAGCUCCAACAUUGAACCACAAGUGUUUUUAGAAAAUACAAAAUGUAAUUUAUCGACUUUCAUGCAAGGAGGAAUUGUAUCCAUUACCAAAGCAACCAUUACAAGUUUAGAUCCUUAGAAUAUUGUGGGUGGUGUGCCACUUGGUUAUGAAUGGACAAAGGUUGUGAUCAAUGUUCCAAUUAUAAGUGAUGCACCACUAGUGGGUCCAUAUGAACGCUAUAAAACAGUUAGAACCGCUGUUGGUGUUCCGAUUGCUUGGAAUUCAAUCCACGUAAUUUUAUGUGUCAUAUCUAUCUUUUAUAGUUAAAAUAUUUGAAUAUAAUUGUAAACUUUAUAUGAUAUGAUUUGUAGGUUCAACCAUUAUGCUAAGCAGAUCUACAUCUACUCUUGGUGUCUCUUUAGAAAAGUAUGGAAUGAUUAUGUAGUCACAAAGUAAGUGGACGAGUGGAGUAAAAUGAAAGGUUAAACCAUUAUGUUAAGUGGAUUUGCAUUAGAAGAUGUUUUACAUUAUUCAAGAAGAUUUUUUUAAAUGCCUUGUACUUUU